rnacentral:lncRNA from 1 species
GCUUAUUUCAUCAGAGUCAUUUCAAAGCUCCAACAGUUUCAUCCCCUGCUUUUACACUUGGGUCUAUAUUUUUUUUAAUGUGUCUGGUGACUCUUGGUUUAAAACGACAGACACUGUGACUAGGGGAAAAAAGUACAAUCUUUGGAUGAUAUUGUGGCCAUCAGAGAGGACCCGCCCUGUCCUCUGCCACAGAGCAGGGACAGAUCACCAGUCAAGUCAGGACUGAGCUGUCUAGGACAGGCUGUAGAUAUGGAAGCCCUGGGCUCAAUUUUGCUUCCCCCAAGCCAUAGUAGAGUGAAGUUUCACUGAACUCUUCAACCACUCAAUGCUCAGCCUCUUAGCUGAGCUGAACGUGACUCUCAUGUUGGGUGAGAAUUAGCCACUGCCUCAAGAGGAAAACCAGCACAGGAAGUCCGGCUCUCUUCUGAGAUCCUCGAUUCUCUGAAUAAUUUCCACCCCAAUCCUGGUGGUCCUGGCAGGGCUGAGAGCCAGUGUCUAUCUCCUGAGACUUACAUCAUUAUAGGCAAGAAAGGGAAAUCCCCAUGUGCCAGAAAUGGAGUGGGAACCGCAAGC